rnacentral:rRNA from 1 species
ACGGAGAGUUUGAUCCUGGCUCAGGAUGAACGCUGGCGGCGUGCUUAACACAUGCAAGUCGAACGAUAUAGUGGCAGACGGGUGAGUAACGCGUGGGAAUCUACCCAUCUCUACGGGAUAGCUCCGGGAAACUGGAAUUAAUACCGUAUACGUCCUGAGGGAGAAAGAUUUAUCGGGGAUGGAUGAGCCCGCGUUGGAUUAGCUAGUU